CUGUACUGUCUGUCGGAGGAGGACGUGGAUCGAUCCGCGAUCACCUGGUACUACGCGCUGUGUAUGGAGCUGCUACUCGACGCUGGGAUGUUCUUGGAGUCUUAUGAAACGUGCUAUAGCUACUACUCGAGUAUCACAGCUGAACAGAGUACUCGCGUGUCACGAGAUCCGCAGAGCUUGACGCGGCUGGUCACCUGUCUGUUCAUCUGGCAGUUGAGAAUGGCGGUGCCGAUCUCUGACGAACUGGUGUUGCACGUUGAAACCUACG